rnacentral:rRNA from 1 species
GACGAACGCUGGCGGCGUGCUUAACACAUGCAAGUCGAACGGAAAGGCCCUGCUUUUGUGGGGUGCUCGAGUGGCGAACGGGUGAGUAACACGUGAGUAACCUGCCCUUGUCUUUGGGAUAACUUCAGGAAACUGGGGCUAAUACCGGAUAGGAGCUCCUGCUGCAUGGUGGGGGUUGGAAAGUUUCGGCGGUUGGGGAUGGACUCGCGGCUUAUCAGCUUGUUGGUGGGGUAGUUGCUUACCAAGGGUUUGACGGGUAGCCGGCAUGAGAGGGGGGCCGGCCACAUUGGGACUGAGAGACGGCGCAGACGCCUACGGGAGGCAGCGGUCGGGAGUAUUGCGCAACGGGCGGAAGCCUGAUGCGGCAACGCCGCGUGCGGGAUGACGGCCUUCGGGUUGUAAACCGCUUUCGCCUGUGACGAAGCGUGAGUGACGGUAACGGGUAAGAAAGCACCGGCUAACUACGUG